GUAGGGUGCAAGCGUUGUCCGGAAUUAUUGGGCGUAAAGAGCUCGUAGGCGGUUCGUCGCGUCGGCUGUGAAAACCUGAGGCUCAACCUCAGGCCUGCAGUCGAUACGGGCGGACUUGAGUACUGCAGGGGAGACUGGAAUUCCUGGUGUAGCGGUGAAAUGCGCAGAUAUCAGGAGGAACACCGGUGGCGAAGGCGGGUCUCUGGGCAGUAACUGACGCUGAGGAGCGAAAGCGUGGGGAGCAAACAGG
rnacentral:rRNA from 1 species